GCUGGGCGUGGUGGUGUGCGCCUGUAAUCCCAGCUACUCAGGAGGCUGAGGCAGGAGAAUUGCUUGAAUCCAGGAGGCGGAGGUUGCAGUGAGCCGAGAUCACGCCACUGCACUCCAGCCUGGACAACAUGGCGAGAAUCUGUCUCAA
rnacentral:SRP_RNA from 1 species